GACGAACGCUGGCGGCGUGCCUAAUACAUGCUAGUUGAGCGCUGAAGGCUGGUACUUGUACCGACUGGAUGAGCAGCGCACGGGUGAGUAACGCGUGGGGAAUCUGCCUUUGAGCGGGGGACAACAUUUGGAAACGAAUGCUAAUACCGCAUAAAAACUUUAAACACACGCUUGAAGUUUGAAAGAUGCAAUUGCAUCACUCAAAGAUGAUCCCGCGUUGUAUUAGCUAGUUGGUGGGGGAAAGGCUCACCAAGGCGAUGAUACAUAGCCGACCUCAGAGGGUGAUCGGCCACAUUGAGACUGAGACACGCCCCACACGCCUACGGGAGGCAGCAGUAGGGAAACUACGGCAAUGGACGACAGUCUGACCGAGCAGCGCCGCGUGCGUGAAGAAGGUUUUCGGCUCGGAAGACUCUGUUAGUAGAGAAGAGCGGUGGUGAGCGUGCACAGCUCACCAAGCGACGGUAACUACACAGGAAGGGACGGCUAACUACGUC
rnacentral:rRNA from 1 species